UACAGAGGGUGCAAGCGUUGCUCGGAAUCAUUGGGCGUAAAGGGCAAGUAGGUGGUCUCAUUUGUCUCGUGUGAAAGCCUUGGGCUUAACCCAAGAAGUGCGCGAGAAACGGUGAGACUCGAGUUCUGGAGAGGGUCGUGGAAUUCCCGGUGUAGCGGUGAAAUGCGCAGAUAUCAGGAGGAACACCUAUUGCGAAGGCAGCUCGCUGGGACGUAACUGACGCUGAGACGCGAAAGCGUGGGAGCAAACAGG
rnacentral:rRNA from 1 species